rnacentral:tRNA from 2 species
GACUGAGUGGCCAAGUUGGUUAAGGCGUACGACUGUUAGAACAUCUAUCUAGUCAUCGUAAGAUCGAGAGUUCGACCCUCUCCUCGGUCG